CCUACGGGAGGCAGCAGUGGGGAAUUUUCCGCAAUGGGCGAAAGCCUGACGGAGCAACGCCGCGUGAGGGAUGAAGGCCUCUGGGCUGUAAACCUCUUUUAUCAAGGAAGAAGAUCUGACGGUACUUGAUGAAUAAGCCACGGCUAAUUCCGUGCCAGCAGCCGCGGUAAUACGGGAGUGGCAAGCGUUAUCCGGAAUUAUUGGGCGUAAAGCGUCCGCAGGCGGUCUUGUAAGUCUGUCGUUAAAGCGUGGAGCUUAACUCCAUUUCAGCGAUGGAAACUGUAAGACUAGAGUGUGGUAGGGGCAGAGGGAAUUCCCGGUGUAGCGGUGAAAUGCGUAGAUAUCGGGAAGAACACCAGUGGCGAAGGCGCUCUGCUGGGCCAUAACUGACGCUCAUGGACGAAAGCCAGGGGAGCGAAAGGGAUUAGAUACCCCUGUAGUCCUGGCCGUAAACGAUGAACACUAGGUGUCGGGGGAAUCGACCCCCUCGAUGUCGUAGCCAACGCGUUAAGUGUUCCGCCUGGGGAGUACGCACGCAAGUGUGAAACUCAAAGGAAUUGACGG
rnacentral:rRNA from 1 species